rnacentral:rRNA from 1 species
GACGAACCGUCCAAACGUUAUUCGGAAUCACUGGGCUUAAAGGGCGCGUAGGCGGGCUAUCAAGUCCGGGGUGAAAUCCUCCAGCUUAACUGGAGAACGGCCUCGGAUACUGAUGGUCUCGAGGAUGAUAGGGGCAUGCGGAACUGGUGGUGGAGCGGUGAAAUGCGUUGAUAUCACUAGGAACUCCGGUGGCGAAGGCGGCAUGCUGGAUCAUUUCUGACGCUGAGGCGCGAAAGCCAGGGGAGCGAACGGG